rfam:Trichobilharzia regenti genome assembly, scaffold: TRE_scaffold0006990
AUCCAUCUGACGAGUCCCAAAUAGGACGAAAUGCGCAUCCUGGAU